rnacentral:rRNA from 1 species
CAGUAGAACGCUGAAGGAAGGAGCUUGCUCUUUCCGGAUGAGUUGCGAACGGGUGAGUAACGCGUAGGUAACCUGCCUGGUAGUGGGGGAUAACUAUUGGAAACGAUAGCUAAUACCGCAUAAUAGUAGAUGUUGCAUGACAUUUGCUUAAAAGGUGCAAUUGCAUCACUACCAGAUGGACCUGCGUUGUAUUAGCUAGUUGGUGAGGUAACGGCUCACCAAGGCAACGAUACAUAGCCGACCUGAGAGGGCGAUCGGCCACACUGGGACUGAGACACGGCCCAGACUCCUACGGGAGGCAGCAGUAGGGAAUCUUCGGCAAUGGACGGAAGUCUGACCGAGCAACGCCGCGUGAGUGAAGAAGGUUUUCGGAUCGUAAAGCUCUGUUGUAAGAGAAGAACGAGUGUGAGAGUGGAAAGUUCACACUGUGACGGUAUCUUACCAGAAAGGGACGGCUAACUACGUGCCAGCAGCCGCGGUAAUACGUAGGUGGCAAGCGUUAUCCGGAAUUAUUGGGCGUAAAGCGCGCGUAGGCGGUUUUUUAAGUCUGAUGUGAAAGCCCACGGCUCAACCGUGGAGGGUCAUUGGAAACUGGAAAACUUGAGUGCAGAAGAGGAAAGUGGAAUUCCAUGUGUAGCGGUGAAAUGCGCAGAGAUAUGGAGGAACACCAGUGGCGAAGGCGACUUUCUGGUCUGUAACU